AGAGUUGAUCAUGGCUCAGGAUGAACGCUAGCUACAGGCUUAACACAUGCAAGUCGAGGGGCAGCAUUGGAGUAGCAAUACUCAGAUGGCGACCGGCGCACGGGUGAGUAACACGUAUCCAACCUGCCGCUUACUCGGGGAUAGCCUUUCGAAAGAAAGAUUAAUACCCGAUGGUAUAAAGAGUUCGCAUGUUCUCUUUAUUAAAGAAUUUCGGUAAGCGAUGGGGAUGCGUUCCAUUAGAUAGUUGGCGGGGUAACGGCCCACCAAGUCUACGAUGGAUAGGGGUUCUGAGAGGAAGGUCCCCCACAUUGGAACUGAGACACGGUCCAAACUCCUACGGGAGGCAGCAGUGAGGAAUAUUGGUCAAUGGACGAGAGUCUGAACCAGCCCAAGUAGCGUGAAGGAUGACUGCCCUAUGGGUUGUAAACUUCUUUUAUAAGGGAAUAAAGUGAGGGACGUGUCCCUUUUUGUAUGUACCUUAUGAAUAAGGAUCGGCUAACUCCGUGCCAGCCGCCGC
rnacentral:rRNA from 1 species